ensembl:lncRNA
CUCUGGGACGGGGCAGGGGCUGUGGGCCCACAGCGAGGCCGGCUGUGCAGCUGGCUCUGAUCAAAGCCUUGCAGCACUCGCCGCGCCCGACAGCCCUGUUUACAUUAACUGGCGGGGAGUGGGUUCGGGUGGCAUUUGCUAACCUGGAUGUCGGUCCCAUCUGCCCGGGUAGCUUUGCUGCCUCCAGCCACAGCCACCUAAAUGCACUGGAAACUCCCUCCCUCUGGAGUGGUUGUUUUGCUAACUCUGACUCCCUGGGAGAUCUCGUUCACAGCAAAGUGUUGUUUCCUUUUUCCUUCUUCUAUAUGGGUGUGUAUGAGUGUGGCAGUGGGAGGCUGCCAAGCACGGGGGGACGUGGUCUUUGCCGAGCAAUUGGGAUAACACCAGCACACGAGAUAGAAGUUCAGGAAGUACUACCCUGCAAAACCCUUCACGCAGCCUUAACGUGAGGAAUGAUCUGCAAUUGGUGGGAAGUCGGGGGACUUACAGCAAGGUGCAGAGCUGAGCUGGAUCUGCUGAUGGAGUCAGUCUCUGGGAGAGACAUUGCACAAAGGGCAGGAUGGGCUGUUUGGGACAUGCCACUUCUGCCCAUUUCAAACGCAGACUUCAUCAGGGCAGCUGGCAGAAGGGAUGGCUCCAGUCCUUCGUGCUCACAGACGGUUUGUUCCGGACCUGGCUCUGGCUGAACCCUGGUGAACUUCCCCCGCAUCCCCUUCCCCGCCGGAGAGCUUGCAGCCAUGAACUUCCCGUGCCUGACCCAAGCAUCUCCGAGAGGUGUGAUCUGAGCUGCAGCCGGAGGAAGGAGAUGGUCGACCCGCCCCUGGCUCCCGCUCAGCCUCCCUAAUCAGCGCAGGAAUGUCUCUGGAUGGCCAUGCAGCAGACAUAUAUUUCAGUGGAGGUGGCAAAGAGUAAGGGGGAAAUGUGGAAUGAUGCAGGAGCUGUAUAAUGGAAUGGAACAAAAUUUCUGGUACAUACGUAUGUUUAUAUAUAACAUCAUGCAGAAAGACCCUAUGCAAGGAGUAUGGAAGAGAGGAUGGAUCUUGCUGCUCAUGCCCCAGACCAGCCUCCUCCUUGUUGCAGACUGUAAUAAGCCAUCGCUGGAGGAUGGUAGAGAGGUUCUUUGAAAAUCUCUCCAAGAUGCUUCCAAUAAAAGAAUUGUGAAACUAUUCCCAUCGGUGGCCUGUCCUCUACCCACAACAGUGACAGAGAAGACUGUUUGAUUUCCAUCAGCAGAAUAAUAUGAGUGUGGACGCCACUGCCACAAAUUUAAGAAGGAUCUCCAGUUGCUGCUUGCCAAAGAAACAGUGCAUGGUCUGGGGGUUUUCAGCCCUCAAGUGGAGAUGCCGCUGGUGUGAUGACAGCUUGAGCAGCAUGAAGCUCCAGAAGAGCUUGAACAGAAAGGGCUGUGUUUGCAAAGAGGUGGGUCAGCUGUGUCUCUGGAGAGCUGCAUGCAGAGCCAGACCCGACCUCUUCUCAGUGAGGUGGAAGCAAAUGUUGGUGCUUUGGGUCUGUCCACAUCUACAAGCAUGCGUGAGGUCCCUUGCCGUGGUUCAGCUGAUGUGGGGCAUCUUGCUCAACAGUUUGAGAGUCUCAGCUUGCAAAUAUUGAAGGAGAUAAAUGGUUAAAAGAAAACCAAAACAACCAUACCCAAAAUAAACAAACCAACCCCAAACAAACAAAUGAAACCUCAAAACAAACAAAGAACUCAAAACAAACAGCCAAAACCUUCCCUACCCCCUCUCCCCCCCAAAAAAAUGAAGGAAGGAACAAGGAACCCUGGUGAUCACAGCAGGAUCUGCAAGGCUCACACUGGAGAGGACAGGUAUGACAGGGGCACGUUUAGCACCUGGCUGCUCUUUACAUCACAGGGCAGAAAUAUGAAAAAUAUGAAAUAUGCAGCAGGGUUGGAUGAAAAGGAAAAUGUAAUGAGAGUAGGAGAAAGAAUGCCACAUGCUCCAACCGCAUCUGAACUUGGCAGCAGCAGCCCAGGGAAGCCCAUGUAAAUCCUAGAAGCAUGUUAAAGGCAUUUUCACCCCACAAAGACUGACAUGCAUGAAAAGUAUUGUUUCAACAAUGUCAGUCAAGAGCCUGGAGAAAUAAUUUGCUAAUAUACUGCCUAGAAGCCCAACAUGGCUAAUUGGAGGGAUGUUCACAUCUUGGAAUGGAGACUACUUGGGAACAGUCUUCCAAUGGGGUAACGAAGUGCAAAGAAGUAAAGGCUGUGUGAACAAGAUGGUGUGUCGAUGCUGCAUUUACACAGCAAAGUGAGAGAUUUCCUCAAGGAGCACAAAGAAAACAUGACAGCAGAGAGAAAACACAUGUACAUGAAGCAUAGGCAAUACAACGUAAGGACAGACUGAGGGAUGUUGUAGAGAAAGACAUAACUGAAAACGCUCGGAAUAUUGCCUAUGUCAUGUGCAAAGGAAGUUAUUAUCCAGCAGCACUGUGCCCAGGCAGAGCAAGCAUUCCUUCCAGUAAGGUUUAGGAGAUGAAUCCUCACUUCUGGGGGCAGCGUGGUCAUCCUUUGGGUUUCUUCUUGGCCUGUCCUUUGUGUACUGUAGACACAUCAAGAUCUGCAAAGGCUUAGCUACGCUGCUAUUUUUCCCUUAAAAAAUAUACUCUCUAAUUUAUUGAAUUACAGGAUACAUAUCAUUUUGCAUUAAAGGGGAUAUAGUGGAAUGCAUUCAUAUUCAAUUUGGCCGUUGCAGCAGAAUCACGGAAUCACAGAAUGGCCCGGGUUGGAAGGGACCUCCAGGAUCAUGAAGCUCCAAACCCAGCAGGAAAUACAACAAUAUCUUCCUAAAAUAAGGCAUUAUAAGUCUCUGUCAGCUCCCUCAAGUUGGCUUAGAAAUAGCUUAUGGACCCAUUUCCCCCAAAGAUCUGUGGAGGAUGGAUGAAUGGGAAGCAUCUGUAGGUGAGGAACUGUGUUACACAGGAAACAUUGCUCUGUCUUUAUGCUCAGCCUUUUUUUUUUCUUACAUUGCAGAUCUGAAAAGCCAUAAAGAAAAGUAUAAUUUGCCUGAUUCUUCUGGCUAGCUGGGAGAAUGAAUGAGCCCCACUGGUUCCUGAGGUGCAUUGGCCAUGCUGAUGGCAGGUUUGCUAAAUCUCAGGGGAGGGAUGCAGCUGUGACAGCGGGCAUCCAGGGUCAGGGGGGACACAUUUUGUCUUGGUGGAGCUUCAGCAGGUGGUGGAUUGAACCCAAGCAGGAUACGGAGGUCACAAGUCCAGGAUAACUUGCAAGUCCAACCCAAUCCAUGGGCAGUUCACCAGAGAACCAUGGAAUCCAGCCAUAAAGGCUGGAAAAGGCCUCUAAGAUCCCAAGUCCAACCCCAGCCCACCCCAUCAUGCCCACUAGUCAUGUCCCCCCAGUGCCACAUCUCUUGAUGAGAUCUUCCUGAACACCUCCAGGGAUGGGGACUCCACCACCAUCCUGGGCAGCUUCUUCUAAUAACUCACCACCCUUUGCACUACUUUCCAUUCUGCUUCCAGUAAGACAGAGACAGAAAGUGGAGCUGAGCCUACUGAAGAACGAAGGACAGCCAACAUGUACUAGGUGCUCAUGCUUGAUGCCUGCAGGCCAGGUAAAUCCAGGGAGCAGUUGUAAAAGGAAGGGAAGUGCAGGGACAGUCGCAGCUGAUUCUCCCACUGGCUGUGGGGAAGGUACUGCACCUCCCUGCAGCUUUUAUUUAUCUCCUAGACUUUCUCUUGCAUGUUUAAAUUGCCGUGGCUUUGAAGGAGGAGCUGUGCUGUGCACUGUCCCAGCACCCACCAGGACGUCUAUUGGGACAGCUGCUCUCCUAUCCGCCCACCAAAUGGCUGAAUUCUCCAGCAAGGACAAAGACCUUAUUUAUGCUCAUGCCUCUCAAAGUACAUAUAUUUUAGUCCUGGAGGAUUUACUGGCAAUAAAGUUUUCUUCUGAGAUUCCUAAAUCACGAGGUACUUAGGCUCUGCAGACCAUGAUGCCCAUGGACAAUAUUUGCUCUGUAGCUUGACACAUCUUUCUGCCUUAGAAUAACAGAAAAACAUGCAGCCAGGACCUGCCCAGCUGCGAGGACUCUAAAUCACCUGCUUUUUCUUUGUUUCCAGAGGGGCAGGUGCAGCUCAGAUUAUCUGCAAGCUAUUUUAUGACUUAACAACACGGGCUUUAAUGCAGUUAGAGAUGCCUUUAUUCAUUCUUACACUCCUGAGUAUUUUUGUGUAAACAUUUUUCAUCUGUGGCAAGCCAGUUUGUUUGUUGUGUUUUGUCAUGUCAGAGCAGACUGUGAUUAGACACUGAGAUGAGACUACUAAAUAUUCUCAGAUGUUUUCUAUUUCCUCAGAGAAGAGCUGGAUUUGAACCAAAGCUCCGAGGUGAAAGGGUGAUGUGUAAUAUAUUGAGACAUCUGAAAUAAAAUAAUGUAAUGUUUUUAAUAUUUAAGAAGAAAAAGGCAGCAGUAAAACAUCGUGGAAGGAGGAAAACAUGAAUACCUAUAUAUUUUAAUUUUAAAUACAUGCAGAUGUUGAAUUUUAAUCAGAGCAUGUCAGAAUCUGACUGUAACAAAGGCAAAAAUGUGAGAUCUGUUUUCUUGAAUUGCUUCCAUAUUUUGAGCUCCAGAUUUUUAUUACAUAUAGCACUGCAUCAUCAUAUAUUUAUGUAAAGUGCCAGCACCCAUUGACUUAGCAUAUGCCUGAUGGUUAGCAUAUAAAACACUUCACAGUGAGAAGUAUAUUCUUUCCCUCAGUAUGUACAGUAUAUACCAUAUUAUACACGCCUGCACCUUCUUGCACAGUGGCAGAGCUCGUUUUCACCUCUCAGUAGGUCUGGUGUUUCUUUUG